CCCCCAGUAACGGCGAGUGAAGAGGGAAGAGCCCAUAGCCGAACCCGCUCGGCCUAGGUCGGACGGGCAUGUGGCGUACGGAUCUCAUCGCGCGCAACGGCUCGGCAGCCGCACGUCCUAGUGAUUCAGGCCUUUCCCAGAGAGGGUGUCAGGCCCGUACUUGGUUGUCGGACCGGGGCGCAGGUGGCGAUCUUAGAGUCGGGUUGUUUGGGAAUGCAGCCCAAAGUGGGAGGUAAACUUCUCCUAAGGCUAAAUACCAUGGCGAGACCGAUAGCGAACAAGUACCGUGAGGGAAAGUUGAAAAGCACUCUGAAGAGAGAGUUCAAUAGUACGUGAAACUGUCGAGAGGCAAACGGUGAAGGCGUCUCUUCGGCCCGUUCAGAUUCAGCCGAGCGUGCGUUCGCGGCUGGGGUUUUCCGAUCCGAAUGGACGGAGGCUUCGGUCGUCGGGCGUGGGAACGGUGCACUUCUGGGCGGGCUUAGUCGCGGCCGAUCGGUCGGGAGCGAAGUGCCCCUCGGGUUGACGGUUCGUCGCUUGCGUCGAGCCCAUACCCGGGGUGUGCAUGGCCUCUUGGUCGAUCGCGGCAGCGGAGCGACAGCCUUUGGCUCGUUCGCCCUCGUCCGCUCUCCGAGUCGGGGUAGAUCCGUCAGGAUGUGCUUCGGUGCAAGGGGGUGGGCUGGGGGUGGAUCGUUCGUCGUUCCCCGUCUGCGGCGCGGGUGCCCUUUACCGACCCGUCUUGAAACACGGACCAAGGAGUCUAACAUGUGUGCGAGUCUUGAGGGUGAGGAAAACCCGCAGGCGCAAUGAAGGUGAAGCCGGCCUCGCGUCGGUGAGGCGGGAGGGGGGUCCUCGGGCCUCUCGCACCGCCGUCCCGUCCGAAGCAUCCUCGCAUGCUGGGCGGAGGCUGAGCAUACACGUUGGGACCCGAAAGAUGGUGAACUAUGCCUGAACAGGAUGAAGCCAGGGGAAACUCUGGUGGAGGUCCGUAGCGAUUCUGACGUGCAAAUCGAUCGUCUGAUUUGGGUAUAGGGGCGA
rnacentral:rRNA from 1 species